UACAGAGGUCUCAAGCGUUGUUCGGAUUCAUUGGGCGUAAAGGGUGCGUAGGCGGAAUGAUAAGUCAGUGGUGAAAGCCUGCAGCUUAACUGCAGAACUGCCAUUGAUACUGUCAAUCUUGAGUACAUUUGAUGAGGGCGGAAUGUGUCAUGUAGCGGUGAAAUGCUUAGAUAUGACACAGAACACCGAUUGCGAAGGCAGCUCUCAAAACUGUAACUGACGCUGAGGCACGAAAGCGUGGGUAUCAAACAGG
rnacentral:rRNA from 1 species